AAGUCGUAACAAGGUUUCCGUAGGUGAACCUGCGGAAGGAUCAUUAUCGUGGGGCUUCGGCCCUCUCGAGAUAGAACCCUUGCCUUUUUGAGUACCUUCGUUUCCUCGGCAGGCUCGCCUGCCAAUGGGGACCCCAAAAAACCCUUUGUAAUACCUGUAAUCGUCUGACAAAACAAACAAAAAUUAAAACUUUCAACAACGGAUCUCUUGGUUCUG
rnacentral:misc_RNA from 1 species